CAAUGUAGGUAAGGGAAGUCGGCAAAACGGAUCCGUAACCUUGGGAAAAGGAUUGGCUCUGAGGCUGAGCCGGUCGGGCUGGGGGUCAAGAAGCAGAAUGGCACUACACCGGGACUGGGCGGUGCUCGCCGCCGUAAAAAAGCGGUGCGGUGCGGCCGAGCCCCGGACCAGCGUCGGGACCUUCCUGUGGAAAGCCGCAGCUGUGCUUGUUUCCUUGGGAUUCGUGCCUGGAGGUUCUUGCCUCGGCCGGCAGAAAACAGCUAACUCAGAACUGGCACGGACCGGGGGAAUCCGACUGUCUAAUUAAAAACAAAAGCAUUGCCAGGGGCCGCUGGUCGGUGCUCACGCAAUGUGAUUUCUGCCCUGUGCUCUGAAUGUCAACGUGAAGAAAUUCAAAAAAGCUCGGGUAAACGGCGAAAGUAACCAUACGCUUUUGCUGGCGGCAGUUGCCGUGGUCGCGCAUUAGUGGUCGACAAGAGUCUUGCGGUCGUGUGCCUACGG
rnacentral:rRNA from 1 species